GAUGAAGAACGUAGCAAAAUGCGAUAAGUAAUGUGAAUUGCAGAAUUCAGUGAAUCAUCGAAUCUUUAAACGCACAUUGCGCCCGCUAGUAUUCUGGCGGGCAUGCCUGUCUGAGCGUCAUUUCAACCCUCGCCCCCGGCUUUUGCUGGGAGCGGUGUUGGGGAUCGGCCGCCCGUCACUGGGAGGCCGGCCCCGAAAUAGAGUGGCGACCACGCCGUGUGCUCCUCUGCGUAGUAGUAAAUCACCUCGCAGGCGGACAGCGGUGCGGCCUGCCGUAAAACCCCCAACUCUUUCUGGUUGACCUCAGAUCAGGUAGGAAUACCCGCUGAACUUAAGCAUAUCAAUAAGCGGAGGA
rnacentral:misc_RNA from 1 species